rnacentral:rRNA from 1 species
AGUGGCAGACGGGUGAGUAACGCGUGGGAACGUACCUUUCACUACGGAAUAGCUCUUGGAAACGAGUGGUAAUACCGUAUACGCCCUUCGGGGGAAAGAUUUAUCGGUGAAAGAUCGGCCCGCGUUAGAUUAGCUAGUUGGUAGGGUAAUGGCCUACCAAGGCGACGAUCUAUAGCUGGUCUGAGAGGAUGAUCAGCCACACUGGGACUGAGACACGGCCCAGACUCCUACGGGAGGCAGCAGUGGGGAAUCUUGCACAAUGGGCGAAAGCCUGAUGCAGCCAUGCCGCGUGAAUGAUGAAGGCCUUAGGGUUGUAAAAUUCUUUCGCUAGGGAUGAUAAUGACAGUACCUAGUAAAGAAGCCCCGGCUAACUUCGUGCCAGCAGCCGCGGUAAUACGAAGGGGGCUAGCGUUGUUCGGAAUUACU